AGAGGACCACAACAGCUUCUGAAAACCAAGUCCCACAUUCAGGUCCACUUUUGAGAGAAUUGUACAUGUAUAUACAAAUAUUCUCUCCCAGCCUCUGCUACCCAAGAUCCCUUUAAAGCUGGAAUGGCCAAAAUAGAACCUUCUGUUUGAAAAACACAGAUUCUGCGAUGGAGCUCCUGGACCAUUUUCCCGCAAACUGGAAAUUUCAUGUAACUCAAUUUUUAAAACUAUGCAACUGGCACACAUUUAAGCCUGCUUGAUGAAUCAGCAUGCAGGUGCCCAGACAAACGAGAUCUGCUGGAAGCUCUCCUGGUUCAGCGUAGUGUUACUUUGCCAUUGUAUUGGCAGGUUAUAGCUUCUAGAGAGAAGAAGUUUAUUCGGGCACGACAGUCAAGCGGCAAGGGGAUCCUGUGCCACGCUCUCCUCUUCUUCUUCUUCUUCUUCUUCUUCUUCUUUUUUGGCUGAGUUUACAGAGUUAAUGCAAUUGCUCAUGAGCCAUUUCACCUACAGCAAGAAGUGAAAGCAUCCAACUACACCCAGAAAGUGAUCACAGAGCACCCUGCAGGAGUUUACUUCCAUUUCAAAGGCGGAGAGAAAAAGAAAGAGAGAUCAAAACCCAAGGAAGAUUUAAAAAAAAAAAAAAACAACCCACCACUUUCAACAGUUUCUAUGAGCCUAUGUAUAAGAUUAAGAUUGAAUUUAUCUUAAAUAUUUUUUUAUCUUAAAAGAUAUAUUUCAUAAUCAUCAUCACCAUUAUUACUAUUUUUUUUAAAAAAAGCAGCAUAUUAAAAUCAGGAAAAUCAAAUAGCUCAUGGCCAGAUUGCUUGUAUACCUGUAAGCAAACAGAUUGUAGUAAACAAUCUUAUCUUAAGAUAAGAUAUCUUAAUAAAUUAGCUGAAACUCUAGAGCAGGGGUCUCCUUGAGGGACGCAUCAGGGUUAUGUUUGACCUCAGUGGGACCAGGGUGGGUGUGGCCAGCUCGACAUCACUCGUGUCGGAGGUUACAUGUGGUGGCCAAUUCCAAAGGCAAUUCCUCAGACCCACCCUUCCUCCCUCUCAUUAUAAUCUCCUUCCUUCCUUCCUCACCCCCCGCCCCCCCGAGCUCCAUUUUUGCUAGCAAGGGCACCAUGGGCUGGUCCUUUGCUGUUUCCAAGGUGGCCAGAUCUAAGCAUCCGAGUUUGACACUCCUGCUCUAGAGAAUACAGUAACAAGAGCAGGAUUCCUAACCAUUGUUGUUUAGGUAAAACCAAACAGAUGUUACAGAAAAGCGGUACGUUCCCAAUAUCAUACCUGAACCAGAAAAUAUUCAAGCAGUGAGGCUGGCAUUUUAAUAGUUAAGGCCAGAUGAUGUAUUUCCACUCGUUUGUGGUGACUCAUGUACUUUGUAUAUUUGCAAAUAUUUAUCUUAAAUGUCAAAAAAAAAAUCCCUAGUAGUUGUUUUUACUUGGUUUCUUUCCAUGUGUGAUCAGAACCUUCUUGCACUUAAUUUAAAAAUGAACUAUUUGAAGGAAUUAUCACCCCCUUUAUACCGGAAAUGUUCCCUUUCUGUUCCAUAUGGCCUCAGUGUAAUCAGAAAUAUCUGAUCUCCGCUAUUCAUAAUAUUUUUCAAGAAAACGUUGACUUGUAUUCUUCCUGGUUCGAGAAGUCUGUAUCGCUUUUUCUCUGCAAUUAUUAAAAAAAAGUUCCUG